rnacentral:rRNA from 1 species
GAUGAACGCUGGCGGCGUGCCUAAUACAUGCAAGUCGAACGCUGAAGGAGGAGCUUGCUCUUUCCGGAUGAGUUGCGAACGGGUGAGUAACGCGUAGGUAACCUGCCUGGUAGCGGGGGAUAACUAUUGGAAACGAUAGCUAAUACCGCAUAACAGUAGAUAUUGCAUGAUAUUUGCUUGAAAGGGGCAAUUGCUCCACUACCAGAUGGACCUGCGUUGUAUUAGCUAGUUGGUGAGGUAACGGCUCACCAAGGCGAAGAUACAUAGCCGAACUGAGAGGGUGAUCGGCCAAACUGGGACCGGGAAACGGCCCAGAACCCUACGGGGGGCAGCAGUAGGGAAUCUUUGGCAAUGGACGGAAGUCUGAACGGGCAACGCCGCGUGAGUGAAGAAGGUUCUCGGAUCGGAAAGCUCUGUUGUAAGAGAAGAAAGAGUGUGAGAGUGGAAAGUUCACACUGUGACGGUAUCUAACCAGAAAGGGACGGCUAACUACGUG